rnacentral:rRNA from 1 species
UACGUAGGGUGCAAGCGUUAAUCGGAAUUACUGGGCGUAAAGCGUGCGCAGGCGGUUUUGUAAGUCUGUCGUGAAAUCCCCCGGGCUCAACCUGGGAAUUGCGAUGGAGACUGCAAGGCUAGAAUCUGGCAGAGGGGGGUAGAAUUCCACGUGUAGCAGUGAAAUGCGUAGAGAUGUGGAGGAACACCGAUGGCGAAGGCAGCCUCCUGGGCCAGCACUGACGCUCAUGCACGAAAGCGUGGGGAGCAAACAGG